AAAGUACUAGAGCAUAUACUGCCCAUCCAGUCCAUGAGGCACUGUACUUGUACUAGCUUGAAAGGUUCUCUGAUAGUGGCGCAUGGCCACUGUCUCCUUACAUAGGCAGCAAGUUCCCAGAGGGAAGAGGCACCGGCAUGUUUCACUAUAUCCCCCGAAACGCCCCGAGCUCAAGGAUGGGUUCAUGGUGGAUGGAGACAAGGACUCCUGAUGAACCGACUGACCAGUUGCCACGGACUUUCAUUCCAUCCUUAGAGAAAUCUCCAUCUUACAGGUGAGGAAGCUGAGGCUUUGAGAAAUGAAGUGGAUGAAGGUCACACAGAUAUUAAGUGACGAAUCUGAACCCGGGUUCCUCGCCAGAGCUCUGGCCAAUACGUCUUAGUUGAACGAUUUCAGACACGCGGUCUUGGAGGACAAGGAGACCAGAUGCUUUUGUCACUGCUGUGGCGAUACGUAUUUGCCAUUCACAACGCAGCCCAGCUUCUCUGCUGCACAGUCGAGAAAACAGAGGAAGACGUUUCCAGAGAGGAAAUGCAGCCAUGGUCAACAGCAAAUUAGUGAUGUGUAAUUCGUUAUCUCUUGUGUGUAACAAAUCAUCCCCAAACUCAGCAACUUAAAAAAAAACCCAAACAUUUAUUGA